rnacentral:ribozyme from 12 species
AAUGAACGAUGUUAAAGAGAUCAGAAACAAAUUACUAAAAUUAGAGGAAUUGGACACCCGGAUGUUUUUGUUCUUUGUCCUUUUGAUGAUCUCUUU